AGUGUUUUGUUUUUGUUUUUUUUAAAAAAUCCUCCAUUUACUUACAGAUUCUUUUCACUUCAUUCACUUGGAGAACGGCAAAUAUUGCAGAAUCAAUAUCGUAGUUCUUCACUUCCAGAAUCUGAAUGAUUAAAUCAACAUCCUAGCCACAAAUAGAGAUGUUAAUAUGUGGGAUAGAUUUGAACCCCUCAGACUUGUUAAACAAUUAUCUAUACAUUCUAGCUAAAAGCAAAUCUUGUUUGGGAAAUUCUUAUAAGCUUCCACAUUUCUGCUUUUCAGUAGGGCACAGUAAGUGACAAAUCUGAUUUAAACUCAGCAGCCAAAUCCAAAAAACUCAGUUGACUGCACAGUCAUACACACAAGUGCUGAUGUGCUAAGGUAUAGCCCACAUACUAGAGAUCCAAGUACUU